rnacentral:rRNA from 1 species
UCAGGCCUAACACAUGCAAGUCAAACGACAAAUCUUUUUGUAGUGGCGGACGGGUGAGUAACACGUAAGAACCUGCCUUUAGGAGGGGGAUACCAUCUGGGAAACUGGUGCUAAUACCCCAUAUGCUGAGAAGUGAAAAGGUAUUUAACCGCCUAGAGAGGGGCUUGCGGCUGAUUAGCUAGUUGGUAGGGUAAUGGCCUCCCAAGGCGACGAUCAGUAGCUGGUUUGAGAGGAAGAUCAGCCACACUGGGACUGAGACACGGCCCAGACUCCUACGGGAGGCAGCAGUGAGGAAUUU